AGCGGUUCGGCGAACCGGCCCAAACAAGCGACUCUAAUGCGCUCCUCUUUCAAUCCAUCAAGGCGCGUUGGGUCAGCGGAUUAGAACAUGUCGAACCUUAGGGUCGAGUGGUUCGAUCCGCCUCUGCCUCUCAUCUGUGCGGCGGCGAGCCGGCACCCAUGCUGGCGGCGGCGGCUCAACCAUGUCCAGCGCCAUCCGCACAAGCACCCAAGAAGAAGGCCGCCGUGGACACGGGCACAGGACGACCGGCGCCAUCCGCUGCUCUCCUUUCUCCUCCUCCCAAGGUGUGGAUCUGAUUUGCAAUGGGAAAUCUAAAAGUUUGCAUCAAGUCAUGGGAGGAUGUGGAAAAAAGUUUAUGAAAGAUGAAUUGGUUUUCAAACCUAAGGAAGACAUGAGAAGCCAUGGUGUGCUUGAUGUUGGUUUUUGUAAGAUGGAAGUUACUGUCGCUUGGUCACUCAUUUCCUAUCAUCCUGUUCCUUUGAAUGUUUAUUAGAAAUGGGAAUGCUACUGUAGCUUUGUGGUUGUUAGUUCUGAAGUGGCAUGCUAUUAAGAUUGUGUUGUGACUGCACGGUACUUUUUUAUGCACCGGACUGAGAUUGAUGGCACUAUCUCUUGGUCGCUCAUAUACGCUUAUAGUGUGUCAUGUGUAACUUGCUUAAAGUUUUGGAUUUCAUAUUGUAACAAUUGCUUCUGCAAUAGUAUUUUGUAAGGUAUGAUGACGAUAUGUUGAUAAUAGCAU